rnacentral:misc_RNA from 1 species
GAUGAAGAACGUAGCGAAAUGCGAUAAGUAAUGUGAAUUGCAGAAUUCAGUGAAUCAUCGAAUCUUUGAACGCACAUUGCGCCCCCUGGUAUUCCGGGGGGCAUGCCUGUCCGAGCGUCAUUACAACCCUCAAGCUCAGCUUGGUGUUGGGCCCCGCCGCCCCGGCGGGCCCUAAAGUCAGUGGCGGUGCCGUCCGGCUCCGAGCGUAGUAAUUCUUCUCGCUCUGGAGGUCCGGUCGUGUGCUCGCCAGCAACCCCCAAUUUUUUUCAGGUUGACCUCGGAUCAGGUAGGGAUACCCGCUGAACUUAAGCAUUUCAAUAAGCGGAGGA